GCCGAAGGUGGGGCUGAUGACUGGGGUGAAGUCGUAACAAGGUAGCCGUACCGGAAGGUGCGGCUGGAUCACCUCCUAACAGGGAGACAACAAUUGAUCGUGAUGUUUAAGUUAUUUAUUCUUAAACCAUGAUCCUGUCACCUUAGGUCGAUCGGUACCUCAGAUUGAUAUCCAUAGAAAAAAGAAUUUUUCUACUUUCUUUGGGUAUUAAUAUCAGUUCCUAAACUUUGUCUAGGUCACACCCAACAAGGGUACUCCUGGGCCAUUAGCUCAGGUGGUUAGAGCGCACCCCUGAUAAGGGUGAGGUCCCUGGUUCAAGUCCAGGAUGGCCCAUUCGAUAUUUGGGGGUAUAGCUCAGUUGGUAGAGCGCCUGCUUUGCAAGCAGGAUGUCAGCGGUUCGAGUCCGCUUACCUCCACUGAUCGACCUCCUGAUAAAGAGUUCAAGGAGAUAUACUUUUGUUAGAUGUGACUUGGAAUUUUUGACUGAAACGGAACCUAGCUUCUUGUCAUUCCCAAAGCU
rnacentral:misc_RNA from 1 species